rnacentral:rRNA from 1 species
GACGAACGCUGGCGGCGUGCCUAAUACAUGCAAGUAGAACGCAGUUUCGAACGGGUGAGUAACGCGUAGGUAACUGCCUCAUAGCGGGGGAUAACGAUUGGAAACGAUAGCUAAUAACGCAUACUGUAAGAUGGACCUGCGUUGUAGUGGCUAGUUGGUUAGGUGAAGGCUAACCAAGGCGACGAUACAUAGCCGACCUGAGAGGGUGAUCGGCCACACUGGGACUGAGACACGGCCCAGACCCCUACGGGAGGCAGCAGUAGGGAAUCUUCGGCAAUGGAGGGAAGUCUGACCGAGCAACGCCGCGUGAGUGAAGAAGGUUUUCGGAUCGUAAAGCUCUGUUGUUAGAGAAGCGGUACCUAACCAGAAAGGGACGGCUAACUACGUGCCAGCAGCCGCGGUAAUAC